ACUGACCCCAGAGGCGCUGCAGGAAUGGAUAAUGUGUCACACGUGGCCAUAGGUGGUAGACAGGAGAGAGGCUAUGUCUACUCUCCAUGUUCUGACCUAUGAACAUCUGGAUGAUUAAUAGCUCAACAUU
ensembl:snoRNA LOC120096407 small nucleolar RNA SNORA17